AGUCAAGUAAUUAAGUGCAUGUGGUGGAUGCCUUGGCAGUCAGAGGCGAUGAAAGACGUGAUAGCCUGCGAAAAGCUCCGGGGAGGCGGCAAAUAUCCUUUGAUCCGGAGAUGUCUGAAUGGGGGAACCCACCUACUUUAAGGUAGGUAUUGCAACAUGAAUACAUAGUGUUGCAAGGCGAACGAGGGGAAGUGAAACAUCUCAGUACCCUUAGGAAAAGAAAUCAAUUGAGAUUCCCUCAGUAGCGGCGAGCGAACGGGGAUCAGCCCAUUAAGUUAUGUGUGUUUUAGUGGAACGCUCUGGGAAGUGCGAACGUAGAGGGUGAUAUUCCCGUACACGAAAGGGCACACAUAAUGAUGACGAGUAGGGCGAGGCACGUGAAACCUUGUCUGAAUAUGGGGGGACCAUCCUCCAAGGCUAAAUACUCCUGACUGACC
rnacentral:rRNA from 1 species